rnacentral:rRNA from 1 species
GACGAACGCUGGCGGCGUGCUUAACACAUGCAAGUCGAACGAUGAUCAGGAGCUUGCUCCUGUGAUUAGUGGCGAACGGGUGAGUAACACGUGAGUAACCUGCCCCUGACUCUGGGAUAAGCGUUGGAAACGACGUCUAAUACUGGAUAUGAUCACUGGCCGCAUGGUCUGGUGGUGGAAAGAUUUUUUGGUUGGGGAUGGACUCGCGGCCUAUCAGCUUGUUGGUGAGGUAAUGGCUCACCAAGGCGACGACGGGUAGCCGGCCUGAGAGGGUGACCGGCCAAACGGGGACUGAGGCACGGCCCAGACUCGUAAGGGAGGCAGCAGUGGGGAAUAUUGCACAAUGGGCGAAAGCCUGAUGCAGGAACGCAGCGUGGGGGAUGAAGGCCUUCGGGUUGUAAACCUCUUUUAGUAGGGAAGAAGCGAAAGUGACGGUACCUGCAGAAAAAGCACCGGCUAACUACGUG